rnacentral:tRNA from 1 species
AUUUAAAUAAUUUAAUAAAAAAUGUUGAUUUGUGAUAUCAAAAAUGCAUAAUUAUGCUUUAAAUU